CCUACGGGAGGCAGCAGUGGGGAAUAUUGGGCAAUGGGCGCAAGCCUGACCCAGCAACGCCGCGUGAAGGAAGAAGGCUUUCGGGUUGUAAACUUCUUUUAAGGGGGAAGAGCAGAAGACGGUACCCCUUGAAUAAGCCACGGCUAACUACGUGCCAGCAGCCGCGGUAAUAUGUAGGUGGCAAGCGUUGUCCGGAUUUACUGGGUGUAAAGGGCGUGCAGCCGGAGCGACAAGUCAGAUGUGAAAUCCACGGGCUCAACCCGUGAACUGCAUUUGAAACUGUUUCCCUUGAGUGUCGGAGAGGUAAUCGGAAUUCCUUGUGUAGCGGUGAAAUGCGUAGAUAUAAGGAAGAACACCAGUGGCGAAGGCGGAUUACUGGACGAUAACUGACGGUGAGGCGCGAAAGCGUGGGGAGCAAACAGGAUUAGAUACCCGUGUAGUC
rnacentral:rRNA from 1 species